rnacentral:rRNA from 1 species
GACGAACGCUGGCGGCGUGCCUAAUACAUGCAAGUCGAACGCUUCUUUCCUCCCGAGUGCUUGCACUCAAUUGGAAAGAGGAGUGGCGGACGGGUGAGUAACACGUGGGUAACCUACCCAUCGGAGGGGGAUAACACUUGGAAACAGGUGCUAAUACCGCAUAACAGUUUAUGCCGCAUGGCAUAAGAGUGAAAGGCGCUUUCGGGUGUCGCUGAUGGAUGGACCCGCGGUGCAUUAGCUAGUUGGUGAGGUAACGGCUCACCAAGGCCACGAUGCAUAGCCGACCUGAGAGGGUGAUCGGCCACACUGGGACUGAGACACGGCCCAGACUCCUACGGGAGGCAGCAGUAGGGAAUCUUCGGCAAUGGACGAAAGUCUGACCGAGCAACGCCGCGUGAGUGAAGAAGGUUUUCGGAUCGUAAAACUCUGUUGUUAGAGAAGAACAAGGACGUUAGUAACUGAACGUCCCCUGACGGUAUCUAACCAGAAAGCCACGGCUAACUACGUG